rnacentral:rRNA from 1 species
AGUCGAGCGGAUGAGGGAGCUUGCUCCUGGAUUCAGCGGCGGACGGGUGAGUAAUGCCUAGGAAUCUGCCUGGUAGUGGGGGAUAACGUCCGGAAACGGGCGCUAAUACCGCAUACGUCCUGAGGGAGAAAGUGGGGGAUCUUCGGACCUCACGCUAUCAGAUGAGCCUAGGUCGGAUUAGCUAGUUGGUGGGGUAAAGGCCUACCAAGGCGACGAUCCGUAACUGGUCUGAGAGGAUGAUCAGUCACACUGGAACUGAGACACGGUCCAGACUCCUACGGGAGGCAGCAGUGGGGAAUAUUGGACAAUGGGCGAAAGCCUGAUCCAGCCAUGCCGCGUGUGUGAAGAAGGUCUUCGGAUUGUAAAGCACUUUAAGUUGGGAGGAAGGGCAGUAAGUUAAUACCUUGCUGUUUUGACGUUACCAACAGAAUAAGCACCGGCUAACUUCGUGCCAGCAGCCGCGGUAAUACGAAGGGUGCAAGCGUUAAUCGGAAUUACUGGGCGUAAAGCGCGCGUAGGUGGUUCAGCAAGUUGGAUGUGAAAUCCCCGGGCUCAACCUGGGAACUGCAUCCAAAACUACUGAGCUAGAGUACGGUAGAGGGUGGUGGAAUUUCCUGUGUAGCGGUGAAAUGCGUAGAUAUAGGAAGGAACACCAGUGGCGAAGGCGACCACCUGGACUGAUACUGACACUGAGGUGCGAAAAGCGUGGGGAGCAAACAGGAUUAGAUACCCUGGUAGUCCACGCCGUAAACGAUGUCGACUAGCCGUUGGGAUCCNUGAGAUCUU